ACAAAUAUCUAUGUCUGAGCUGGAGAGGUCCCUGGACGGCUUAGGGUUGUGGUGAGCACAGAUACAUACGUCCAGGCUGUAGUGGUCCCUGGGGGUUUAG